rnacentral:lncRNA from 1 species
CAAAAUCAAGCAAACCAAAUUACAAAUCAUUCCAUAGCAAACCUUUUAGUUGCCAGUUUCACUAGACAACUUAAAAGAUGGUGGCACAAUUAUCUUACCACAGAACAACAACAAGAAAUAUUAAAAGAUAUAAAAAAAAAGAUGAUGAAGGAAACAACAUCUUAGAUGAACAAGGAAGAGAAAUCCAAGAUGCUAUUGCAACCUUCAUCUUCUCAAUCUCAAAAUAUUGUAAUAAAUUUAACACAGGAUACCCUGGUCAAACUCAUAAAUAUCCUGAUCAAACCUUUUCCUAGAAGGCUCUGGUAUCAGAUGCGAAAAAACUGGUCGCAUUUCAAAAUUCUGCAAAAUUAGAAGGAAAACCAACGAACUUCACUUAGAUGAAAACAUUGAACAAAAAAUUAAUGAAAUCCUACUAGAAUUAACAACAUCGGACUAUGAGACAUCCGACAGCAAGGAAUCUACAAGUGAAUUCCAAAUAGAUGAAAUACAAACUACAUCUCAAUCUUCAACAGAUAAUAAAGAACAAAUUAAUGUCCAAACCAAAGAUCAAGAACUCAUGAUUGAAAUCAUUGAUAAAAUCCAAGACCCAACGCUACAAAAAGAAUACCUUGAGAAAUUAAAAACUUCGAUGAAAGAAAAAACAGAAAAACCCAUAAUUACAAAUCAAGAACACAUGUAUAAUAUAAAAGAUAUCAUAUUUGAUAGAUAUAAAUCCUCUAAACCUAGACAAAUAACAAAUGCAGAAUUACAGUCAGAAAUUAAAGAAAUAUAAGUGGAAAUCUCCAAACUCAAAAAUGAACAAAGAGAAAUAAAAAACCAAAUAGAAUUCUUACAAAGUUGUUGUUUUGUGGUAAGAUAAUUAUCCCACCAUCUUUUAAGUUGUCCAUUGAAACCGGCAACUAAAAGGUUUGCUAUGGAAUGAUCUGUAAUUUGGCUUGCUUGAUUUUGU